rnacentral:rRNA from 1 species
CCUACGGGAGGCUGCAGUGGGGAAUAUUGCACAAUGGGGGAAACCCUGAUGCAGCGACGCCGCGUGAGUGAGGAAGUAUUUCGGUAUGUAAAGCUCUAUCAGCAGGGAAGAAAAUGACGGUACCUGACUAAGAAGCCCCGGCUAACUACGUGCCAGCAGCCGCGGUAAUACGUAGGGGGCAAGCGUUAUCCGGAUUUACUGGGUGUAAAGGGAGCGUAGACGGUUAAUCAAGUCAGAAGUGAAAACCCAGGGCUCAACCUUGGGACUGCUUUUGAAACUGAGUAGCUAGAUUGCAGGAGAGGUAAGCGGAAUUCCUAGUGUAUCGGUGAAAUGCGGAGAGAUUAGGAGGAACACCGGUGGCGAAGGCGGCCUGCUGGACUGUGACUGACGUUGAGGCCCGAAGGCGUGGGGAGCAAACAGGAUUAGAUACCCCAGUAGUC